GAUGAAGGACGUUACUAACGACGAUAUGCUUUGGGGAGCUGUAAGUAAGCUUUGAUCCAGAGAUUUCCGAAUGGGGAAACCCAGCAUGAGUUAUGUCAUGUUAUCGAUAUGUGAAUACAUAGCAUAUCAGAAGGCACACCCGGAGAACUGAAACAUCUUAGUACCCGGAGGAAGAGAAAGAAAAUUCGAUUCCCUUAGUAGCGGCGAGCGAAACGGGAAGAGCCCAAACCAACAAGCUUGCUUGUUGGGGUUGUAGGACACUCUAUACGGAGUUACAAAGGACGACAUUAGACGAAUCAUCUGGAAAGAUGAAUCAAAGAAGGUAAUAAUCCUGUAGUCGAAAAUGUUGUCUCUCUUGAGUGGAUCCUGAGUACGACGGAGCACGUGAAAUUCCGUCGGAAUCUGGGAGGACCAUCUCCUAAGGCUAAAUACUCUCUAGUGACCGAUAGUGAACCAGUACCGUGAGGGAAA
rnacentral:rRNA from 1 species